UACGGGGGGAGCAAGCGUUGUUCGGAUUUACUGGGCGUAAAGCGUGCGUAGGCGGUUCCUCAAGUCCGUUGUGAAAGCCCCGGGCUCAACCUGGGAAUGGCAGUGGAAACUAGGGGACUGGAAUCUGGCAGAGGGGGGUGGAAUGCCGCGUGUAGCAGUGAAAUGCGUAGAGAUGCGGCGGAACACCGAUGGCGAAGGCAGCCCCCUGGGCUGAGAUUGACGCUCAGGCACGAAAGCGUGGGGAGCAAACAGG
rnacentral:rRNA from 1 species